rnacentral:rRNA from 1 species
GGCGAUCAGAUACCGCCCUAGUUCUGACCGUAAACGAUGCCAACUAGCGAUCCGCCAGUCGACUCAUCGCUCUGGUGGGGAGCUUCCCGGAAACGAAAGUCUUCCGGUUCCGGGGGAAGUAUGGUUGCAAAGCUGAAACUUAAAGGAAUUGACGGAAGGGCGCCACCAGGAGUGGAGUCUGCGGCUUAUUUUGACUCAACACGGGGAAACUCACCCGGCCCGGACACCGUAAGGAUUGACAGAUUGAUAGCUUUUUCAUGAUUCGGUGGAUGGUGGUGCAUGGCCGUUCUUAGUUCGUGGAGCGAUUUGUCUGGUUUAUUCCGAUAACGAGCGAGACUCUGGCCUACUAAAUAGUUGACGCAUUGCCACUGUGCGCACAACUUCUUAGAGGGAUUUUCGGUGUUUUCAACCGCACGAAAUUGAGCAAUAACAGGUCUGUGAUGCCCUUAGAUGUCCGGGGCUGCACGCGCGCUACACUGGCAAACGCAACGUGCCUGUCCUGCCCGGAAAGGAGCGGGUAAACCCCUGAAAUUUUGCCGUGAUUGGGAUCGGACAUUGCAACUAUUGUCCGUGAACGAGGAAUUCCUUGUAGGGGCGAGUCAUCAACUCGUCCCGAAUACGUCCCUGCCCUUGUA